AGUAUGAUGGCCGAGGUACACAGGCGUUAAGUUGUAAACUUAAUUACGAAAUAAAUAUUUCUCUUACUA
rnacentral:tRNA from 1 species